rnacentral:lncRNA from 10 species
CAUAUAUCCCAUUCUUUUAUCAGGGACAUCCUAGUUAAAACAUGAAAAUCAGCAAUUCUCCACUGAGCUCCAUCAUAUAUAGUGGUGGCCAUGUCAUCUGUAAACUCCAUGAAAUCCCAUUGCUGUUUACUAAGUUGCUCCAAAGAGUCUUCUCAGGUAGCCAAGAAAUCUGGAAGGGAGUGACUUCCUCCAACACCAUGGCAAGGGACUGAAGACAUGGAAGCCUACUCCCUUGCUGCAGUUUCUGGACCAUGGGCCACCAUGUAUGUGCAUCUAAAUACCUUUGAGGAUAAGGAGAAUGCGUGUGACAGCAGCAAGAGAAGCAGCAUCACAGGAGACAGGCAAGAGGGCUACCUUCACAUGAACAGCAAUGACUAUUAGGCAACGUGGGAUUCAUGCUUAAUUAUUCCUGGGAUAGUAGUCCCUUUUCUUUCUGCAAACUUCACAAAAUCCCUUUCCCAGGACCAUCUAUCCAGGGGAUGGAAAAAUCACAAAAUAAUACUUGUAUGUCUUCCAAAAUCAGGAAAUGACAGUCACCAGGCUAGAUAUAGU